rnacentral:rRNA from 1 species
ACGCUGCCAAGAAAAGCCUCUAAGGAGUGAACUAGGUACCCGUACCGCAAACCGACACAGGUAGGCGAGGAGAAAAUCCUCAGGUGCAAGUGAGAACCCUCGUUUAGGAACUCGGCAACUUGACCCCGUAACUUCGGAAGAAGGGGUGCUCGAUCUUGUGUAGGGGUUUACCCCCGAAGCAUCAUCGAGUUGCAAUAAAGAGGCCCAAGCGACUGUUUACUAAAAACACAGGACUCUGCAAAGUCGAAUACGACGUAUAGGGUCUGACUCCUGCCCGGUGCCGGAAGGUCAAAGGGAGAGGUUAGCCGCAAGGCGAAGCUUCGAGCUCAAGCCCCGGUAAACCGGCCGUAACUAUAACGGUCCUAAGGUAGCGAAAUUCCUUGUCGGGUAAGUUCCGACCUGCACAAAUGGAGUAACGAUUUGGGCGCUGUCUCAACGAGGGGCACUGCGAAUUUGUGGUACCGGUGAAGACGCCGGUUGCCCGUGGCUAGACGAAAAGACCCCGUGCACCUUUACUGCAUCUUAGUAGUGAAUGUUGCCGCAAUCUGCGCAGGAUAGGUAGGAGACUUUGAACCCGGGUUUUUGGAUUCGGGGGAGUCAACGGUGAGAUACUACCCUGAUUGCUGCGACGUUCUAACUGAGCCCUGUCAUCCAGGGCCAGGACACUGCUAGGUGGGUAGUUUGACUGGGGCGGUCGCCUCCUAAAUUGUAACGGAGGCGCGCGAAGGUUCGCUCAGGCUGUUUGGAAAUCAGCCGUAGAGUGCAAAAGCACAAGCGAGCUUGACUGCGAGACUUACAAGUCGAGCAGGUGGGAAACCAGGCUUUAGUGAUCCGGUGGUUCCGCGUGGAAGGGCCAUCGCUCAACGGAUAAAAGGUACGCCGGGGAUAACAGGCUGAUCUGAGCCAAGAGUUCACAUCGACGCUCAGGUUUGGCACCUCGAUGUCGGCUCAUCGCAUCCUGGAGCUGUAGCAGGUUCCAAGGGUCCGGCUGUUCGCCGGUUAAAGCGGUACGUGAGCUGGGUUUAGAACGUCGCGAGACAGUUCGGUCUCUAUCUGCCAUGGGCGCAGGAAAUUUGAGUGGGGUUGACCUUAGUACGAGAGGACCGGGUUGAACGCACCUCUAGUGUACGAGUUGUCGUGCCAACGGCAGUGCUCGGUAGCUACGUGCGGACGGGAGAAACGCUGAAAGCAUCUAAGCGUGAAACCCUCCACGAGAUGAGAUUUCCCUGGGGCAUAAGCCCCCUGAAGGCACCUGGAAGAUGACCAGGUUGAUAGGUCGGGUGUGGACAUGCUGCGAGGCAUGAAGCUUACCGAUACUAAUCUGCCGUGAGGCUAGACCAA